GAGCAACUGAGGAAAGACGUCAGACACGUGCCGCCCCAGUGCAGGACUCGGUGUUCUCCGGGAGCUUUUCCAUUUGAGCGUGAUGGAGAAGAACAUCUGACCUGAUAGUUUCGAGCCAAGCAGAACUGCCUCAAGUGACUGACUUGUUAAAGAAUAUACAGAUAAACUAGCGCGGCUCCUGCAUGAAAUCCAAAGUGUAUUUUCAGAUCCUCAUUUUCACCUCCACCAAAUCCUCGUGCCUCUGUGGUUGCUGCCGAGGUUUUCCCCAGUUGAACGGGAGCUUGGAAGCAGUGAGGACUUCAGAGACACUCAGAUGACAAAUGGGGUUCCACAAAAGGUGCAGACAAAGCUCUGGCAGCUAAAGACACAAACACGUCACGGCA